rnacentral:rRNA from 1 species
AUUGAACGCUGGCGGCAGGCCUAACACAUGCAAGUCGAACGAGUGGCGGACGGGUGAGUAAUGUCUGUGAAACUGCCCGAUGGAGGGGGAUAUCUACUGGAAACGGUAGCUAAUACCGCAUACCCUCGGAUGUGCCCAGAUGGGAUUAGCUUGGAGGGGAGGUAACGGCUCACGUAGGCGACGAUCCCUAGCUGUUCUGAGAGGAUGACCCGCCACACUGGAACUGAGACACGGUCCAGACUCCUACGGGAGGCAGCAGUGGGGAAUAUUGCACAAUGGGCGCAAGCCUGAUGCAGCCAUGCCGCGUGUAUGAAGAAGGCCUUCGGGUUGUAAAGUACUUUCAGCGGGGAGGCGUUACCCGCAGAAGAAGCACCGGCUAACUCCGUGCCAGCAGCCGCGGUAAUUC